rnacentral:rRNA from 1 species
GAUGAACGCUGGCGGCGUGCCUAAUACAUGCAAGUCGAGCGAACAGACGAGGAGCUUGCUCCUCUGACGUUAGCGGCGGACGGGUGAGUAACACGUGGAUAACCUACCUAUAAGACUGGGAUAACUUCGGGAAACCGGAGCUAAUACCGGAUAAUAUAUUGAACCGCAUGGUUCAAUAGUGAAAGACGGUUUUGCUGUCACUUAUAGAUGGAUCCGCGCCGCAUUAGCUAGUUGGUAAGGUAACGGCUUACCAAGGCGACGAUGCGUAGCCGACCUGAGAGGGUGAUCGGCCAAACGGGAACUGAGACACGGUCCAGACGCCUACGGGAGGCAGCAGUAGGGAAUCUUCCGCAAUGGGCGAAAGCUUGACGGAGCAACGCCGCGUGAGUGAUGAAGGUCUUCGGAUCGUAAAACUCUGUUAUUAGGGAAGAACAAAUGUGUAAGUAACUAUGCACGUCUUGACGGUACCUAAUCAGAAAGCCACGGCUAACUACGUG